UACGUAGGCAGCGAGCGUUGUUCGGAGUUACUGGGCGUAAAGGGUGCGUAGGCGGGUCUUUAAGUCAGGGGUGAAAUCCUGGAGCUCAACUCCAGAACUGCCUUUGAUACUGAGAUCUUGAGUUCGGGAGAGGUGAGUGGAACUGCGAGUGUAGAGGUGAAAUUCGUAGAUAUUCGCAAGAACACCAGUGGCGAAGGCGGCUCACUGGCCCGAUACUGACGCUGAGGCACGAAAGCGUGGGGAGCAAACAGG
rnacentral:rRNA from 1 species